UAAUUGAUUGUAUGUAUGGAUAUAGGGACUAGUGUAAAGUUGGCAACAGCCCGUCCAGUGUUGUGCCAUUGACAUCAGAGACUAUUGAUCAGGUUGUACUUGAUGGAAAUAAAGACUUGUGAACUUGUAUGCACUAUGGUGUGGUCAUUGCAAAAAUAUUGCUCAACCUUUCGAAGGUAUCCAAUGCUUUAAACUGGAAGAGGAUGUUGUAAUAGCUAACCUUGAUGCAGAUAAUUACAAGAAUUUGGCUAAGAAGUUGUUGGAAAGGCACAAGUCAUAGUUGCGGAACCUAGAGUUUGUUUACGAUUAUAUUGAAUUAUGUCGAUCAUUAUAUAUGGACAGCAAAGCUGGUGAAGACUAUGAUAGCGGUCGAGCCGUCGAGAUGUAAAUAACUUGUUAUUUUCGUUAAUGAAAGACGUGGCACUAGUCAGGCUUUAGUGAAGGAAUUUACCAGUGCUGUUGAUGAUGAGAGGAAGGCAGUCCUUGCUUGAAUUGGAGAGGAGGAGGAGAAACUCUUUAAGGGUUUCUUCAGCAAGGAAUGUUCAUUGCAUCAAUAAUGAAGUUACCCAAGCUGUUUGACAUAGCGAUUUGCGGCAAAUUCUUACCAAAGAAAGGGAGGGGGGUGGAG